UGAACGCUGGCGGCGUGCCUAAUACAUGCAGGUAGAACGCUGAAGGAGGAGCUUGCUCUUCUGGAUGAGUUGCGAACGGGUGAGUAACGCGUAGGUAACCUGCCUGGUAGCGGGGGAUAACUAUUGGAAACGAUAGCUAAUACCGCAUGACAACAGUUAUUGCAUGAUAACUGUUUAAAAGGGGCAACUGCUCCACUACCAGAUGGACCUGCGUUGUAUUAGCUAGUUGGUGAGGUAACGGCUCACCAAGGCGACGAUACAUAGCCGACCUGAGAGGGUGAUCGGCCACACUGGGACUGAGACACGGCCCAGACUCCUACGGGAGGCAGCAGUAGGGAAUCUUCGGCAAUGGACGGAAGUCUGACCGAGCAACGCCGCGUGAGUGAAGAAGGUUUUCGGAUCGUAAAGCUCUGUUGUAAGAGAAGAACGAGUGUGAGAGUGGAAAGUUCACACUGUGACGGUAUCUUACCAGAAAGGGACGGCUAACUACGUG
rnacentral:rRNA from 1 species